GUCGCAUUGGUUUUGUCUGAUUUAAUGAAUCCCCAGAAUAUAACCCUUCUGAUGGUUUUUUGUAGCACAGGUUGGAAAAUGUGUUGUAAUUCAUAGGCAACUGAUGAUAAUAAUGGUCACAAAAUAUGUGUAAGUUAAAUCAUGUUUCGUGCCAUUAUAUAUCUGAUUUCACCCGGUUUGGCGUAGCUUUAUGGGGAUUGCUUUGUCUGGAAAAACGAAUGCAUCUGGGUCAACUCACAACCUCUGUUGCUGAUCAGUUAUAAUUUAAAAUGUAUUUACAUUGGGAAAUAAAAUUCUCCUUUCAAGAAGGCUGGUGUUUGUGUCCUGGGCUGGAUCAGAACCUGUGGUGUCUUCCGUGCACUCCAGUCCGGGUCUUUGUUUUUAUUUGGAACCAUGUCCAAUUGGUGGGUGAAGAAAUUUACAAAAUGUCAAAGACAGUAGUGUCUGCUUUGAUGUGGCUGCUUUAUUUAGGAUUCAUACAAGCAACACUGUUUUUCAUAAAGUUCCUCGGUAGUCAUCUAUUCAUGUUGAGUAACGUUUCACUUGUGAUGCAGUGAGACGGUUCUUUAUAGGAUUCAGCCGAAGAUGUUUUCUAUCAACCAAACAUGAAUAGAGCAACUGACUAGUUUUCUUUUAAAUAUGUUUUGGUGCUAGACUGAGUAACUAAAUGUUUUGAACAGUUAGAGUCCCAGCGAACCCCGCUGCCAAUGCGUUUUCUGGAUGGGACACUGAAGCAAAAGGCAUCAGUGGAGUGUCUUUCUCUGGCUGUUUCUUCCUUGCUGUCUCUGUCUCAAUCUGUUUCUCUCUUUGACUCUUUUUCUGUUUGUCUUUCCCUGUCUGUCUCUCUGUCUCGGCCUGUCUGUCUCUCCGAUGGGCCACAUGUACCUCGGAGGCAGGUGCACAAUCAUGCAUGAACACUUAACCCUUUGAUUUCCACUUCACAUGGUUGGCUACCACCCUGGGGUGAUCCCUCUGUCCGUUAAAGCCACAGCAGUGCCGUGUCUCUUUCGCUUUCGCUCUGUGCUGCUACCCGCCUGUCUACUUGUCAACCUGUCUGUCUGUCUGCCUGUCUGUCUGCACACGCCGCGGUCAGCUCUGGUGUCUCGUGGUUAGGUAGGUACGACGUCUGUGGCUCCUCUCUUGGCAUUCACCGCGUGCCUUAAUUGUAUAGAAAUUAAAUCAAGGUCCACUGUGAACACAAAGAGCCGAAACCCAAAUUCCCACCUCGUUCUCCUCCACCUGCCGACGUCUUCUCCUCCUUGACCUCUACUCUUCCUUCAGUCUUUCUAGGCUACUUCCCUAUCUCGCCCUGUUUCUUUC
ensembl:lncRNA